rnacentral:lncRNA from 1 species
GAUCUCCUGACCUCGUGACCUGCCCAGCUCGGCCUCCCAAAGUGCUGGGAUUACAGGCAUGAGCCAUUGCGCCUAACCUCAGAAACCAUUUUUAUAACCUCAAUACCUAAUAGAAACUGGCACAUGGCCCCUGUGAGCUGUGACUGCAAGAGUCAGCACCUAAAUUAGAUCAACACUACAACAUCAAAAAGCCAGCUUGAUGGCACAGCGGGGAGUGAGGAAGACUCGGUGGACAAAUCUGACUGGAAAACAAGUAGGCGUUGCAGAUGAAGACCUGGAACCAUGGUAGGAAGUGGGACAGGGAGCAUUUGGACAAGCUGUUCAAGAACUGAUCAUGCUCAUGUGUAUGGGAAAACAGAUGGAGGAAGAGAAAUUCCUGAAGAGCACAAGACUGGUGGGGCAAGGAACAAGCCUACUGAGAUGAGUUGCAGAUUUGAAGAUGGGAGAAAUGGUUUCGUUGUCUACCAUGUAAAAACUCAUUUAUGCAAGAUGCUUGAUAUCUGAAUUUCAAUUUCUUCAUUAUCAAAAUGAAUAUUAAAAAUACUCUACUUCUUAGAGUUGUCAAAAAGAUACGGAGAUGUGAAUAAUUUGAAAUUAUUAUCUAUAUGUAAAGUAUUACUAUAUUUACUAUCCUUAUCAAAUAUUUAUCCUACUGUCUAACACAUUAAAUGGACAAAAUAGAACAUUUGAAGGGUGUAGAUCUUGAAAGUUUAAUUUUACAUAAAAAAGGCCAGAAACCUUUCCUAAGAAAAAUGUACAUAUUGCAAAAUGUAGC